UACAGAGGUCCCGAGCGUUGUUCGGAUUCACUGGGCGUAAAGGGUGCGUAGGUGGUGGGGUAAGUCGGAUGUGAAAGCUCGGAGCUCAACUCCGAAAUGGCAUUGGAAACUACCCUGCUGGAGGCUUGGAGGGGGGACUGGAAUACUUGGUGUAGCAGUGAAAUGCGUAGAUAUCAAGUGGAACACCAGUGGCGAAGGCGAGUCCCUGGACAAAACCUGACACUGAGGCACGAAAGCUAGGGGAGCAAACAGG
rnacentral:rRNA from 1 species